rnacentral:piRNA from 1 species
UUGUCUACACAGUAUGGAACUACAAGCCAUU